UACAGAGACCUCAAGCGUUACUAGGAUUCACUGGGCGUAAAGGGAGCGCAGGCGGACAAAUGUGUCAGGGGUGAAAUCCCAGGGCUUAACUCUGGAACGGCGCCUGAAACUGUUUGACUUGAGAUUCGGAGGGGUAAGCGGAAUUCCAGGUGUAGCGGUGACAUGCGUAGAUAUCUGGAGGAACACCAACGGCGAAGGCAGCUUACUGGACGAAAUCUGACGCUCAGGGUCGAAAGUGUGGGUAGCAAAAGUG
rnacentral:rRNA from 1 species